AGUGAACGCUGGCGGUAGGCCUAACGCAUGCAAGUCGAACGGCAGCACAGUAAGAGCUUGCUCUUACGGGUGGCGAGUGGCGGACGGGUGAGGAAUACAUCGGAAUCUACUUUUUCGUGGGGGAUAACGUAGGGAAACUUACGCUAAUACCGCAUACGACCUACGGGUGAAAGCAGGGGAUCUUCGGACCUUGCGCGAUUGAAUGAGCCGAUGUCGGAUUAACUAGUUGGCGGGGUAAAGGCCCACCAAGGCGACGAUCCGUAGCUGGUCUGAGAGGAUGAUCAGCCACACUGGAACUGAGACACGGUCCAGACUCCUACGGGAGGCAGCAGUGGGGAAUAUUGGACAAUGGGCGCAAGCCUGAUCCAGCCAUACCGCGUGGGUGAAGAAGGCCUUCGGUUUGUAAAGCCCUUUUGUUGGGAAAGAAAAGCAGCAGGUUAAUACCCCGCUGUUCUGACGGUACCCAAAGAAUAAGCACCGGCUAACUUCGUG
rnacentral:rRNA from 1 species